rnacentral:rRNA from 1 species
UUCGCCCUUAGAGUUUGAUCCUGGCUCAGGACGAACGCUGGCGGCGCGCCUAACACAUGCAAGUCGAACGAGCGAGAGAGAGCUUGCUUUCUCAAGCGAGUGGCGAACGGGUGAGUAACGCGUGAGGAACCUGCCUCAAAGAGGGGGACAACAGUUGGAAACGACUGCUAAUACCGCAUAAGCCCACAGGUCGGCAUCGACCAGAGGGAAAAGGAGCAAUCCGCUUUGAGAUGGCCUCGCGUCCGAUUAGCUAGUUGGUGAGGUAACGGCCCACCAAGGCAACGAUCGGUAGCCGGACUGAGAGGUUGAACGGCCACAUUGGGACUGAGACACGGCCCAGACUCCUACGGGAGGCAGCAGUGGGGAAUAUUGCACAAUGGGGGAAACCCUGAUGCAGCGACGCCGCGUGGAGGAAGAAGGUCUUCGGAUUGUAAACUCCUGUUGUUGAGGAAGAUAAUGACGGUACUCAACAAGGAAGUGACGGCUAACUACGUGCCAGCAGCCGCGGUAAAACGUAGGUCACAAGCGUUGUCCGGAAUUACUGGGUGUAAAGGGAGCGCAGGCGGGAAGACAAGUUGGAAGUGAAAUCUAUGGGCUCAACCCAUAAACUGCUUUCAAAACUGUUUUUCUUGAGUAGUGCAGAGGUAGGCGGAAUUCCCGGUGUAGCGGUGGAAUGCGUAGAUAUCGGGAAGAACACCAGUGGCGAAGGGCGGCCCUAUUGGGGCACCAAAUGACGCUGAGGCUUCGAAAAGUGUGGGUAGCAAACAGGAUUUAGAUACCCUGGUAGUCCACACCCGUAAAACGAUGAUUACUAGGGGUUGGGAGGAUUGACCCCCUUCAGUGCCGCAGUUAACACAAUAAGUAAUCCACCUGGGGAGUACGACCGCAAGGUUGAAACUCAAAGGAAUUGACGGGGGCCCGCACAAGCAGUGGAGUAUGUGGUUUAAUUCGACGCAACGCGAAGAACCUUACCAAGUCUUGACAUCCUGCGACGAUGCUGGAAACAGUAUUUUCCUUCGGGACGCAGAGACAGGUGGUGCAUGGUUGUCGUCAGCUCGUGUCGUGAGAUGUUGGGUUAAGUCCCGCAACGAGCGCAACCCUUACUGUCAGUUACUACGCAAGAGGACUCUGGCAGGACUGCCGUUGACAAAACGGAGGAAGGUGGGGAUGACGUCAAAUCAUCAUGCCCUUUAUGACUUGGGCUACACACGUACUACAAUGGCGUUAAACAAAGAGAAGCAAGACCGCGAGGUGGAGCAAAACUCAGAAACAACGUCCCAGUUCGGACUGCAGGCUGCAACUCGCCUGCACGAAGUCGGAAUUGCUAGUAAUCGCAGAUCAGCAUGCUGCGGUGAAUACGUUCCCGGGCCUUGCACACACCGCCCGUCA